GGGGAUUUGGCUCAGUGGUAGAGUGCUUGCCUAGCAAGCACAAGGCCCUGGGUUCGGUCCCCAGUUCCG
rnacentral:tRNA from 1 species